CUUCACUUGUCAAAGACUCAAUUUUUUAUUUCCUGGAGUCUUCUUAAACGACCACUUCUCAGAACAGAUUCAAGAACCACAUAUUCAAGAAUCUCACCACUUUGGGAUUUGAGUGAAAUCGCCUGUAAGCAAGAACAACAGGAAGGAGGUAAGUGAUCUUGCUCUAGUGCAGAGGCAAAGGUGAGGCUUUAGGAGCGACAUUUAACCAGGCACUUGCAGUCCGUACACAGUGUGGUAACAGAGGAGAGCUGAUGCUGAAGAACAGGAAGCUUUCUCAAUCCCCAGCACUGCUGGAGAAACGACACCCAGAUAUGCUCCGAUACAACUUCCUUGUACAGGUCUAAAGUCUAGAAUCAGACGUUUUGAUAGGAAUCUAAAAUAUAACAGUUAUUGUAUUUCUGCCCAGUGCUGUGCCAAUAAGCAGGUUUAAGAGUUCAAGAAAUAGCUUAAUACAACUGGAGAGAUUUUGGGGAGAGCACUUCCUGGUAGCAAGAAUUAAACACCGAAAAAUUAAGGAGCUGGACCUUCAGCAGGUCUCUGAAGAGGGAGCCAGAUUUCAAACCCAACCUGACACAAGGAUUUGUACACAUGGGGGAAAGGCAGCAAAAAAAAAAAAAAGUAACUUAAAAGAUUAAAAUCUUGAAUCUAACAAUGCCAUUUUAACAAUUUCAAGGAAUGCAAGGGACUGUUAUAUUGGUAUCUGAACUAUAUCUAUAAA